rnacentral:rRNA from 1 species
UGGGGGAUAUUGCACAAUGGGGGAAACCCUGAUGCAGCGACGCCGCGUGUAGGAAGACGGUCCUCUGGAUUGUAAACUACUGUCUUCGGGGACGAUAAUGACGGUACCCGAGGAGGAAGCUCCGGCUAACUACGUGCCAGCAGCCGCGGUAAUACGGGGGGUGCAAGCGUUGUCCGGAAUCAUUGGGCGUAAAGCGUUCGUAGGCGGUAUAUCAAGUCUGGUGUUAAAGCCCGGGGCUCAACUCCGGUUCGGCACUGGAUACUGGUAAACUAGAAUGCGGUAGAGGUAAGGGGAAUUCCUGGUGUAGCGGUGAAAUGCGUAGAUAUCAGGAGGAACACCGGUGGCGAAGGCGGCUACCUGGCCAUGUAUUGACGCUCAGGUGCGAAAGCGUGGGGAGCAAACA